GACGUAGGGGGCGAGCGUUGUCCGGAGUUACUGGGCGUAAAGCGCCCGCAGGCGGUCUGGCGCGUUGGAGGUGACAGUCGGCGGCUUAACUGCCGGAGGACUUGCAAGACGGCCAGACUGGAGGGCCUCAGAGGGACAUGGAAGUCCGGGUGGAGCGGUGAAAUGCGUAGAGAUCCGGAGGAACACCAAAGGCGAAGGCAGUGUCCUGGGAGGCACCUGACGCUCGGGGGCGAAGGCCAGGGGAG
rnacentral:rRNA from 1 species